rnacentral:rRNA from 1 species
CAUCGGCACUGAGACACGGGCCGGACUCCUACGGGAGGCAGCAGUGGGGAAUCUUGCGCAAUGGGGGAAACCCUGACGCAGCGACGCCGCGUGACCGAAGAAGCCCUUCGGGGUGUAAAGGUCUUUUCUGGAGGAUGAAUUAUGACAGUACUCCAGGAAUAAGCCACGGCUAACCUCGUGCCAGCAGCCGCGGUAAGACGAGGGUGGCAAGCGUUAUCCGGAAUUAUUGGGCGUAAAGCGUCUGUAGGCGAUCUGGCAAAGUUUUCUGUGAAAUUCCAAUGCUCAACAUUGGAGCUGCAGAAAAUACUGCUAGAAUUGAGGAAGAUAGAGGUAAGUGGAAUUCCCGGCGUAGCAGUGAAAUGCGUUAAUAUCGGGAGGAACACCAAUAGCGAAGGCAGCUUACUGGAUCUUUCCUGACGCUCAGAGACGAAAGCGUGGGUAGCGAAUGGGAUUAGAUACCCCAGUAGUCCACGCCGUAAACGAUGGAUAUUAGGCAUAGGGAGAGUCGACCCUUUCUGUGCCGAAGC